rnacentral:tRNA from 1 species
GUGGCCAUGGUGUACCGGUCCGUGCACAUCAGAUCGUGACUCUGAAGGUCCGGGUUCGAAUCCCGGUGGUCACCCCA